rnacentral:rRNA from 1 species
UGCAAGUCGAGGGGCAGCAUUUCUAGCUUGCUAGAAGAUGGCGACCGGCGGACGCCUUUAUAACGCGUAUGCAACUUGCCUAUAACUUAGGGAUAACUUGGAGAAAUCCUUGCUAAUAUCUGAUGUGAUCAAAAAUUCGCAUGUUUUUUUGAUUAAAGAAUUUCGGUUAUAGAUAGGCAUGCGUCCUAUUAGCUAGUUGGUAAGGUAAUGGCUUACCAAGGCUACGAUAGGUAGGGGGCCUGAGAGGGUGAUCCCCCACACUGGUACUGAGACACGGACCAGACUCCUACGGGAGGCAGCAGUGAGGAAUAUUGGUCAAUGGAGGCAACUCUGAACCAGCCAUCCCGCGUGAAGGAUUGAAGGCGCUCGACGUCGUAAACUUCUUUUAUAUAGAAAUAAACUUAGGUACGUGUUUUUAAUUGAAUGUACUAUAUGAAUAAGCAUCGGCUAACUCCGUGCCAGCAGCCGCGGUAAUACGGAGGAUGCAAGCGUUAUCCGGAUUUAUUGGGUUUAAAGGGUCCGCAGGCGGACUAAUAAGUCAGUGGUGAAAUCCCAUCGCUCAACGAUGGAACUGCCCUUGAAACUGUUAGUCUUGAGUCUAGUUGACGUAGGCGGAAUAUGGCAUGUAUCGGUGACAUGCAUACAUAUGUCAUAUAACAC